rnacentral:lncRNA from 1 species
CCUAGAUAGAGGGAUUUACCCAAAUGCUCGUCGUAAUCUAUCGCAUCACCCUCUUCUAGGGAAGAAAAUGAUUGUUUCCAUAUCUCUGUGUCCUUGAAUGUUCUUUAUCUAAUCCAACCAAGGGCAUCCCUUGGCCUUCGGGGCUGAGAGCACUGAGGAUCCUAGUACUUCCCAGAGUCACCCUGACCAAACACCGUGGACGGAUGCAUGACUCACCACUUCUCUUCUGUAAGUUACAGAGGGUUGUUGACAGGACCAAAUGAGAUAACAAAUGCAAAACUCCAGACAAGGGGCAGGCACACACAAGGCUCUAUUACACGUGCUAUGAGGAUCCUGGCCUUCUCUCCAGAGAUGACAAGUAUUUGCCUCCUUCGGGUUAAUCAGGAAGACUUCUAUAAUUGGGAAACUUCCCUUCAACUCUUUGGUUAUGCUGUGGUACAGUUGGUACCAGAAAGUAAAAUUCCCUAUGUGUCCCAGUAUAUGACCAACUGCUGCAGACAGUCUGUGGAUGCAUGAAAGGAGGAGCAUCUGCUUGUAAGAUACAAAGCGGAGGAAUGGCCGCCCAGUCUUCUGACUGCCCACUGUCCUGAGUUCUUAACCAGAGAGCGAGCAGAAGCCUGUCAGCCUCCAGCAAGAUCUUCCGUGUCGGGAGCAAAGCUUUGAUCACUCCUGACAGGGAUCCUCAGUCAGGCUCCUUGAAGAUAGAGGCCAUGUCUGCUGUCCUCCUCCAAGAAGGCUGCCUCCCGCCACUUCCCAAACCAUGCCCAGCUUAAAGGAGGCACUCAUUUAUUGAGUUAUGGAGAAAAGAAGAGAGAAAGAGGAGGAGGGAUGGUUGUGGAGGAAAGGAGAUGGAAGAGCAUUAUGAACACAACACCCAGGACUGCAAACUAACAUGAGCCAUAAUUGAAGGGCCAGAUUUCUUGAAAAACGCCUGUUACAUAGGCAAGAUGAGGCACCUGGUUCUAACAGGCA